UAAAGCCGAAGAUUUCCCAAGCCGUCACACGCACCCCGGAAACACGAAGCCCUAAUACGAAGGUAGCUUUAUAAACACCCCGACGCCACGAAAGCUAAGAAACAAACUGGGAUUAGAUACCCCACUAUGCUUAGCCUUAAACUCAGAUGUUAAAAAUACAAAUACAUCCGCCAGGGUACUACAAGCGCUAGCUUAAAACCCAAAGGACUUGACGGUGUCUCAGACCCACCUAGAGGAGCCUGUUCUAGAACCGAUAAUCCCCGUUAAACCUCACCACCCCUUGCUUUUCCCGCCUAUAUACCGCCGUCGUAAGCUUACCCUGUGAAGGACUUAUAGUAAGCAAAAUGGGCAAACCCCAAAACGUCAGGUCGAGGUGUAGCUCACGAGGUGGAAAGAAAUGGGCUACAUUUUCUGCAACAGAAUAUCACGGACGACACCAUGAAACUAGUGUCUAAAGGUGGAUUUAGUAGUAAAAAAUAAACAGAGCGUGUUUUUGAACCAGGCUCUGAGACGCGCACACACCGCCCGUCACUC
rnacentral:rRNA from 1 species